UACGUAGGGCGCGAGCGUUGUCCGGAAUUAUUGGGCGUAAAGCGCGUGUAGGCGGCCAGGUAGGUCUGCUGUGAAAACUCGAGGCUCAACUUCGAGAUGUCGGCGGAAACCAUUUGGCUAGAGUCCGGAAGAGGAGAGUGGAAUUCCUGGUGUAGCGGUGAAAUGCGCAGAUAUCAGGAAGAACACCUAUGGCGAAGGCAGCACUCUGGGACGGUACUGACGCUGAGACGCGAAAGCGUGGGGAGCGAACAGG
rnacentral:rRNA from 1 species